GGGGAAUAUUGCGCAAUGGGGGAAACCCUGAUGCAGCAAUACCGCGUGAGUGAUGAAGGUUUUCGGAUCGUAAAGCACUGUCAUUGGGGAAGAAAAAAAGACGGUACCCAAGAAGAAAGUCCAGGCUAACUACGUCGCCAGAGCCGCGGUAAUAAGUAGGGGACAAGCGUUGUCCGGAUUUACUGGGCGUAAAGGGCACGCAGGCGGUUGUUUAAGUCAGAUGUGAAAGGUACCGGCUCAACCGGUGACAUGCAUUUGAAACUGAAAGACUUGAGUAUUAGAGAGGCAAGUGGAAUUCCUAGUGUAGCGGUGAAAUGCGUAGAUAUGAGGAGGAACACCGGUGGCGAAGGCGGCUUGCUAGACAAAUACUGACGCUGAGGUGCGAAAGCGUGGGGAGCAAACA
rnacentral:rRNA from 1 species